GACGAACGCUGGCGGCGUGCUUAACACAUGCAAGUCGUACGGUAAGGCCCUUUCGGGGGUACACGAGUGGCGAACGGGUGAGUAACACGUGAGUAACCUGCCCCCACCUUUGGAUUACGGCAGGAAAACUGGGCCAAAAAUUGAAAUGUUGUUCCUCUUCCUGGUUGGGGGUGGAAAGGCCCGGCGGUUGUGGGUGGACUCGCGGCCUAUCAGCUUGUUGGUGGGGUAGUGGCCUACCAAGGCGGCGACGGGUAGCCGGCCUGAGAGGGUGACCGGCCACAUUGGGACUGAGAUACGGCCCAGACUCCUACGGGAGGCAGCAGUGGGGAAUAUUGCACAAUGGGCGCAAGCCUGAUGCAGCAACGCCGCGUGCGGGAUGACGGCCUUCGGGUUGUAAACCGCUUUCAGCAGGGACGAAGCUUUUUGUGACGGUACCUGCAGAAGAAGCACCGGCUAACUACGUG
rnacentral:rRNA from 1 species